UGAGGAAUAUUGGUCAAUGGGCGAGAGCCUGAACCAGCCAAGUAGCGUGCAGGAUGACGGCCCUAUGGGUUGUAAACUGCUUUUAUGUGGGGAUAAAGUGCGUGACGUGUCAUGCAUUGCAGGUACCACAUGAAUAAGGACCGGCUAAUUCCGUGCCAGCAGCCGCGGUAAUACGAAGGUCCGGGCGUUAUCCGGAUUUAUUGGGUUUAAAGGGAGCGUAGGCUGUCUAUUAAGCGUGUUGUGAAAUUUACCGGCUCAACCGGUGGCUUGCAGCGCGAACUGGUCGACUUGAGUAUGCAGGAAGUAGGCGGAAUUCAUGGUGUAGCGGUGAAAUGCUUAGAUAUCAUGACGAACUCCGAUUGCGCAGGCAGCUUACUGUAGCAUAACUGACGCUGAUGCUCGAAAGUGCGGGUAUCAAACAGG
rnacentral:rRNA from 1 species